UGGGGAAUAUUGCACAAUGGGGGAAACCCUGAUGCAGCGACGCCGCGUGAAGGAAGAAGUAUCUCGGUAUGUAAACUUCUAUCAGCAGGGAAGAAAAUGACGGUACCUGACUAAGAAGCCCCGGCUAACUACGUGCCAGCAGCCGCGGUAAUACGUAGGGGGCAAGCGUUAUCCGGAUUUACUGGGUGUAAAGGGAGCGUAGACGGAGCAGCAAGUCUGAUGUGAAAGGCGGGGGCUCAACCCCCGGACUGCAUUGGAAACUGUUGAUCUUGAGUACCGGAGAGGUAAGCGGAAUUCCUAGUGUAGCGGUGAAAUGCGUAGAUAUUAGGAGGAACACAGUGCGAAGGCGGCUUACUGGACGGUAACUGACGUUGAGGCUCGAAAAGCGUGGGGGAGCAAAACAGGAUUAGAUACC
rnacentral:rRNA from 1 species